ACAACUAAAAUCUGCCCAAUUUAACCAAAUUCCUGAAGACCUCUCUCCAUUUUCUAUCCUACUAGAUUUUUUGGAUGGCACAAG